UGAAAAUAACCCAUUUUAAACUGCACUGAAGUUAACAUCAAAUGAUUUCUUUGAAGAGAAAGUGUUGUAGGAUCACAACUUUCUGAGCAUUAAAACUAAAGACCAAAACUCUCCAUGGAAAAAAAAGAGAAUUUCUCAAGAUUUAUGUCUAUUAUAUUCGAGAGAAUCUUUGAUUCAAGGUUCCUUUGAGGAAAUGACGAAUAUAAGAAAUACAGAGGAACCUUGGAAUAAUUGAAUGAACCAAUGUAGAACCAAGAGACUAGAACAUAAAAUGACUACAAAAAUAUAAACUAAAAAUCUCAAUAUAAAGUGGGGAUGAUUAUAGCCCCUACCUUUCAGGGUUGCUGGGAGUAUAAAAGGAGAUAUUUGUAAAAGACUUUACAAAUUUAAAGCAUGACAUAAAUACUAGCU
rnacentral:lncRNA from 1 species